GGACGAACGCUGGCGGCGUGCUUAACACAUGCAAGUCGAGCGGUAAGGCCCUUUCGGGGGUACACGAGCGGCGAACGGGUGAGUAACACGUGAGCAAUCUGCCCUUCACUUCGGGAUAAGCCUCGGAAACGGGGUCUAAUACCGGAUAUGACUGCGCCAUGCAUGUGGUGUGGUGGAAAGUUCUGGCGGUGAGGGAUGAGCUCGCGGCCUAUCAGCUUGCUGGUGGGUAAUGGCCU
rnacentral:rRNA from 1 species